rnacentral:rRNA from 1 species
UGCCAGCCGCCGCGGUAAUACGUAGGGCGCAAGCGUUGUUCGGAAUCACUGGGCGUAAAGGGCGCGUAGGCGGAACGGUCAGCUAGGGGUGAAAGCCCGAGGCUCAACCUCGGAAUAGCUUCUAGAACUGCCGUUCUUGAGAAGGUUAGAGGUUAGCGGAAUUCCUGGUGUAGAGGUGAAAUUCGUAGAGAUCAGGAGGAACAUCGGCGGCGAAAGCGGCUAACUGGGACCUAUCUGACGCUGAUGCGCGAAAGCGUGGGGAGCAAACAGGAUUAGAUA